AUUGAACGCUGGCGGCAGGCCUAACACAUGCAAGUCGGACGAGCGUCGGACGGGUGCGUAAUGUCUGGGGAUCUGCCUGAUGGAGGGGGAUAACUACUGAAAACGGUAGCUAAUACCGCAUACCCUCAGAUGAACCCAUAUGGGAUUAGCUUGUUGGUAAGGUAACGGCUUACCUAGGCGACGAUCCCUAGCUGGUCUUAGAGGAUGAUCAGCCAAACGGGGCCUGAGACACGGCCCAGACUCCUACGUGAGGCAGAAGUGGGGAAUAGUGCACAAUGGGCGCAAGCCUGAUGCAGCUAUGCCGCGUGUAUGAAGAAGGCCUCCGGGUUGGAAAGUACUUUCAGUCGGGAGGCGUUACCGACAGAAGAAGCAACGGCUAACUCCGUGCCAGCAGCCGCGGUAAUUC
rnacentral:rRNA from 1 species